CUGGGGUCCAGAUCGAUUAUCCCUCGAUUUUUAAUUGUCGAGGGCUUUGGCCUCUCGUUGAAGAGCGAGAUUUUCAUCACUGGCCUGCACACAUAGGAUGAAAAAAUUUGUUGGACCGGCUCUGGCUGGGUCUUCCGACUCUCAAGUCAAGCUUUAAAAUAAGGAAUGUUAGAGUUGUAUUAUCCUAUUUUAACUGAUUUGUUUCACUUUAGCCUUCAGAAGCUUGGCUUUGAGGAGUUAAACUUUGGGGAUCGACUUUGGAGAGUUAGCGAUCUUAGUUUGAUCUCCAUUGUGGCCUCAUUUUUGGCCUCAGUCUGAAGCCUUCGGGAUUUUUCAUACACAGUG
rnacentral:lncRNA from 1 species